GGCGGAGUGGUGUAGUGGAUACCAUACCUGACCGGAUAUUGGACAAUAUAGUUUGUGUUGCUUCAAUAAACAGUCAAUAGAAAGUAGCAGUGGUGUGUCUUUUACUUUCUGUCCCUGUAUUGCUGCGUGUAUUGUCAAAAUGAUAUUGGGAGAUCCGGAGUUCAAAUCCCAGCUCCGUCA
rnacentral:tRNA from 1 species